ACACACGGCGGGUGCUAACGUCCGUCGUGAAGAGGGAAACAACCCAGACCGCCAGCUAAGGUCCCAAAGUCAUGGUUAAGUGGGAAACGAUGUGGGAAGGCCCAGACAGCCAGGAUGUUGGCUUAGAAGCAGCCAUCAUUUAAAGAAAGCGUAAUAGCUCACUGGUCGAGUCGGCCUGCGCGGAAGAUGUAACGGGGCUAAACCAUGCACCGAAGCUGCGGCAGCGACGCUUAUGCGUUGUUGGGUAGGGGAGCGUUCUGUAAGCCUGCGAAGGUGUGCUGUGAGGCAUGCUGGAGGUAUCAGAAGUGCGAAUGCUGACAUAAGUAACGAUAAAGCGGGUGAAAAGCCCGCUCGCCGGAAGACCAAGGGUUCCUGUCCAACGUUAAUCGGGGCAGGGUGAGUCGACCCCUAAGGCGAGGCCGAAAGGCGUAGUCGAUGGGAAACAG
rnacentral:rRNA from 1 species